rnacentral:rRNA from 1 species
CGGUGUUUAACUGGCGUGAUGUGGGACGUCCUACCGGUGGGCUUAGCCUCGCGAGGGGCGGCCCAACUAAUAUCCCGUCGCGGUGCUCUUUACUGAGUGUCGAGUCGGGCCGGUACGUUUACUUUGAACAAAUUAGAGUGCUUAAAGCAGGCUAUCCUCGCCUGAAUACUGCGUGCAUGGAAUAAUGGAAUAGGACCUCGGUUCUAUUUUGUUGGUUUUCGGAACCCCGAGGUAAUGAUUAAUAGGGACAGAUGGGGGCAUUCGUAUUGCGACGUUAGAGGUGAAAUUCUUGGAUCGUCGCAAGACGGACAGAAGCGAAAGCAUUUGCCAAAAAUGUUUUCAUUAAUCAAGAACGAAAGUUAGAGGUUCGAAGGCGAUCAGAUACCGCCCUAGUUCUAACCAUAAACGAUGCCAGCUAGCGAUCCGCCGAAGCUCCUCCGAUGACUCGGCGGGCAGCUUCCGGGAAACCAAAGCUUUUGGGUUCCGGGGGAAGUAUGGUUGCAAAGCUGAAACUUAAAGGAAUUGACGGAAGGGCACCACCAGGAGUGGAGCCUGCGGCUUAAUUUGACUCAACACGGGAAACCUCACCAGGCCCAGACACCGGAAGGAUUGACAGAUUGAUAGCUCUUUCUUGAUUCGGUGGGUGGUGGUGCAUGGCCGUUCUUAGUUGGUGGAGCGAUUUGUCUGGUUAAUUCCGAUAACGAACGAGACUCUAGCCUGCUAAAUAGGCGUACCUUAUGGUAUCGCGAAGGCCCCCGGCUUCGGCCGGUGGGUUUUUACUACCAACGUACAAACAAAUCUUCUUAGAGGGACAGGCGG